GUGGGGAAUUUUGGACAAUGGGCGAAAGCCUGAUCCAGCCAUGCCGCGUGCAGGAUGAAGGCCUUCGGGUUGUAAACUGCUUUUGUACGGAACGAAAAGACUCCUUCUAAUAAAGGGGGUCCAUGACGGUACCGUAAGAAUAAGCACCGGCUAACUACGUGCCAGCAGCCGCGGUAAUACGUAGGGUGCAAGCGUUAAUCGGAAUUACUGGGCGUAAAGCGUGCGCAGGCGGUUAUAUAAGACAGAUGUGAAAUCCCGGGGCUCAACCUGGGAACUGCAUUUGUGACUGUAUAGCUAGAGUACGGUAGAGGGGGAUGGAAUUCCGCGUGUAGCAGUGAAAUGCGUAGAUAUGCGGAGGAACACCGAUGGCGAAGGCAAUCCCCUGGACCUGUACUGACGCUCAUGCACGAAAGCGUGGGGAGCAAACAGGAUUAGAUACCCCUGUAGUCC
rnacentral:rRNA from 1 species